AGAGCCCAGAUGAUGAACUGUGACAUAAUCCCCCAGUAACUUGCCUCAUGAACACAGUUUUCCAGGCUGCAUUAGAAGCAAAUAACCUCAGCACCCCCCCAUCACGUGAACACCCAGGAAUAACAGCCUUGCUAACAGCCAGCAGCCCAGGGCUGGGCUUUCCUGGAGCUCGGCUGGCCCGGCUCUCCUUAGUUCAGAAUGGCACCAGGAAUGGUGGCCUCUGACAUGGUCUGAGCAGGCUGACCCUGACUCGCACCAGGGUAGCUGGUAUUGUACAGCAGCAGCCUGCGUGACACACAGCUACACAGGACGCUGGAAACUUCCUGUUUCGGGGGGGAAACGGAAGCACCCAUAUCAGCCCCAGCAUGCCAAGGAUGUUCCAGGCCACUGGGCUGCACCCCAGCGAGCCCAUCUGACCUAAAGGGGCAGCCCGGGGCCAUCAGUUAUUCUUCACGCAGGCUCAGCUGGGAAGGAGCAGAGAUGCUGCAGCCCGGGGGGUGGGGAGGGAGGAUGUGUACAUCUCUGAUGCUGCAGAAAGAACCGAAAGUUCAAAUGCAAAACCAGAGAGUGGAUUUGCUGAGGUACAGCAACAGACGGGGCCCAAGGAGAAGAGUUCAACAGCAGAACGUGCCCUUCCCCCACAAGCUGUGCAGUGAGAUAGCAGGAACCGAAAACCUGGCUUCAAGUAUUCACUGAAGGCUAAAGUCAGCUUGACACGCACACAGCCACUUGGAAAGGGAAACUGAAACCAGGCUUUGGUGAAGUGCUCUGGUGCCCUACUGUGACCUGGGCUCAGUUCCCUAGAGACAUGAGUGCUGCUGGGAUGACAGUGCCCCUCACUACCACAGCAUCUCCUGGGGACACGCAGCCAGAGGUCCGAGGAGGGGAUCGCCGUGGGGUGGCUUUGGAGAGCGUCCUGGGAGAUGGAUGGAAUGAGCUGCCAUUAAUCAAAGCCCAGCACAUAAUCAGCACACAUGUAACACAGAGUCGCCCACAUCCCUGAGCCGGCCCCGGCAAACAUGUUGCAGAGGAGAAGACGGCCAUUGAAGCCCUCUGUGCACAGACUCCAGGAGCUGGGCUCAUUCACAAAGCUCCAUCACUUGGCUCGGCCAGGUCUGGCUGUCAGAACUGUUUAAAUAUGGAAAAAAAUAAACAGUUGCAACACG